UGCGUAGGCGGUUAACUAAGUUUGGUGUGAAAUCUCCCGGCUUAACUGGGAGGGUGCGCCGAAAACUGGCUAGCUAGAGUGUGGGAGAGGAUAGUGGAAUUCCUGGUGUAGCGGUGAAAUGCGUAGAUAUCAGGAGGAACACCUGCGGUGUAGACGGCUAUCUGGACCAUGACUGACGCUGAGGCACGAAAGCUGGGUAGCAAACA
rnacentral:rRNA from 1 species